GCUUAACCGACGGAGCCACCCAGGUGCCUCUGGAAAUACGAUUUUUGUAGAUGUAAUGAAGGAUCUCCAGGUAGGCUUAGCUUAAAGGGGCAGUGGGCCCGAAACCCAAUGACAGGACAGGAAGAGAGAAAGGACAGGAAGGAUGUGAAAACACACAGUCACAGGGGAGACGGCCACAUAGAGAUGGAAGCACAGGUGUGAUGCCUCCAUGAGCCAAGGAACACCCAGGAUUGGUGGCAACCACCAGACCCUGGAGGAGGCAGGGAAAGAGUCUCCCCUAGAGCCUUCGGAGGGAGCAUGGUCCAGCUGUCACCUUGCUUUUAGACUUCCGGCUGCCAGAAAUGUGAGAGAAUCAAUGUCUAUUGUUACUACCCACCCAGCCCUAGAAACUAAAGACAGAGCUGGAUUCAAAUUCAUGUGCCCUUAAACAACUCACUCCACCACUCAAGGACACCUCGCUUCCCACCCCCACCGCCCAGAAUGGAAAUGGAGCCGAGAAUCUCUCUCUCCCAGCACCGCAGAAUUCCCUAGAGGGCUUUUGGAAGCCCAACCCUGAACUUUCCGGAUCUGGGAAUCUGCCGAUGGUGCUGGUCUCAGGACCGUGGCUGUGGAGGACCCCAGAGCUGGGCCAAUUAGAAGAAAACAAACGGCAGAAAACUGAAACUAGGAAGAGCUGAGUGAAGGGAGAGGAGCAGAGACGCAGGGAAGCCAGUGGGUUGUGUGUUGGGAGGGAGUUAGCAGGGGAAUCAGAAGAGUGGCUUUCAUUCGGAGCCGGCUUCGGGCCCAGGGGACACUGGCCCUGUCCGGAACCCUCUUUGGUUCGUACAACCAGGGCAAGCGGUCCUCCUGGCGUCUAGGUGGCGGAGGCAGGGGACUCGGUUAAACAUCCUUCGGUGCCCAGGACAGCCCCACCACAGAGGAUGCCCUGGCCCUGGAUGUCAGUAAACACAGCAGCACAGAUCAACGGUUCUGUUGACGGGCGGGCCCCAGCAUCCGGGUGAUUGUUGCGGGCAGCCAUGGUGAGACCCACUGGUGGAGACAGUCGAGAGCGGUAUUUAUCCACAGAUCCCACAGGGACCUUGUUAAAAUGCGGAUUCGAACUAGAGGGCGGGGCGUCUGGGGCAGGAACCGAGGUUCUGUGUUUCCAACAAGCUCACGUGUGAUAUGGGCUGCCUUGGUGGGGGUGGGGGUGGGGGGUGUCCCUGGCAUCUCAGAGGUUUUUCUACAUCUCUUCUCUGCCCUUUGAGAUGUAAAUCUACCACCCGGAGAUCUCUUUCUUCCAACACCAGGGGAGCCAUCUCUCUGAAGCUCAAACGUGGAGAGCAAGUUCUCUCCCAGUCCUGGAGGAAGGUUAAGGGCCCAACUCUGUAGGCACCUCCCACCCAGCUGCACCCCUGCCUCCUGGCACAGGGACAGCGGCCCCGUUGGCUUCCUCUCCAGCCAAGUGUGAAAGUCCAGCCACCCAGACGGGCCUCCUUCCCACCCCUCUGCGCCUUUCCCUUAGCCAAAGCCUUUCAUUUCAGCCAAGUCCAGUCAAGUUCACGCAGGGCCCUGUUCCUGAUUGCAAUAGCAGAACUGAAUAAAUUUGUCCUCUCCACGUUGUUAACCGGCUUCCGGCUGUGCUGGCCUCUGACUCAGGGUUCCAGGGAUUCAAACGCAAAGGGGGGAAAUUUGGACACAGACAUGCACACAGAGAAUGCCAGGUCAAGGUCGGUUAUGGUGCCAGAAAAGUAUCGGAAGUUGGGAGAGAGGGCCCGGAACGGAUCCUUGCCUGGUGCCUUUGGAGAGACAAGCAGGCCUGGCAACGCCUUGAUCUUGGACUUCUGGCCUCCAGAACUCCUUCCUUCUGGAAGCACGCUCCCGCCUUCCUCCCUGGGGACGCUGCCUGCUGCCUCCUGUUCUCACGAGUCCUUGUCACAGAGUGGGGUCCGCUCCUGGGCAAUACGACCUUUCAGGAGCGAUGGCAAACUUAACAGGUCAGAGAACGUGAGUGAACAAACUCGUGGCUGGGUGGGGUGAGCCCCGUCUAAAGGGGGACAGUCCCUGCUCAGCUCCUGCCAUGGGGGACACGGGCUCCGUGUUGCCUGAACUCGCAGUUUCUCGAGAGAAACCAGAAACGUGGAUUUCCGAAACAAAUGGUGACAUCCAAUCUUUGAAUGUUAGCAGUCGACGCCCCUUUCUUUUGUCGUUUUCACCUCCUUGGGUCCAGCUCCAACACGUCUGGAGAUCAGAUCUGGCCCCGCUUGGCAACCUCCGGUCGAGACUGCACACCCCAGCCUUGGGUGACGGGACGGGCUGCGGGCAGGACGCGGGACACGUGAGGCUCUGCUGCUGGUUGGCUGUGCACACCUGCUUCAGAAACCUUCCUGAGCCUCAGUCUCCGCAUGCAUAAAAUGGGUACCGUCUCGCACACCUUGCUUACCUCCUGGGGUGGCCAUGAAGGCGGAGGGACGCGGUUUAUUUAGCAAACGGUGCGUGCCGGCAAUGUUCUGACCGUGUGGCAAACCAGUCUUCUACUCCACCCCAAGAGCGCUCAGAAGGGGGUGCCGUGAAGACCCUAUUUCGUUCGUACAGAGGCUAAGUGACUGCUAAAUGUCCCCCAGCUGACAGGCGGGGGCAACGGGCUUUGCGUCCAGGCGAGCGGACGGCCAAGUAUGUGCCCUUAGCCGACGCAUUUGGCUGCCUCUUGGGAGGCACUGAAAUUCCACACGGUUUUGUCCUCUUUGUUUUUUUUUAUAAAGGGGGAGGAGGGAUGGGCACCCCUUGGCUUCUUCUUGGGGAGCUCUCUCUCAGCCAGCAGCUGCUGCCCCUGGAGGAACCGGGCGCGGGUUGUCACGGCGGCACAGGCUUCCUGACCCGUCUGGCCCGGGGCCAGUGUGCCGGGCCAAACAACCCACCGCCUUUUCUCCUCAGCAGAGGAUUUCCCGUAAGCAGCAGCUCCCUGCCUGUUGGCUCACAGACCUGCCAAGACCCACAGUCAGGAGACUGCCUGGGCUCCUCCUCCACGGGGCUAGAUGACAUCUGGGGGCAGGGGAGGGAGGGUUGGCGCUUCCCAGCUGGGACCUGGGCUACGCUGCCCACCCCACCCCAGUGUGUGGCUGGUGCGUGGGUGUAAGAAAAACCUAGAUCCGGGGGCGCCUGGGUGGCUCAGUCAGCGGAGCAUCCGGCUUCGGCUCAGGUCACGAUCUCACGGUUCCUGAGUUCAAGUCCCGCGUCAGGCUCUGUGCUGACAGCUCGGAGCCUGGAG